rnacentral:lncRNA from 1 species
UGCCCUUCAUGUAAAUGUCAAACAUGUUUAACACUUAUUAUGCCUAUUAUACACAUAUAUACAUGUUUCCUCCCUGUUUUCUCUACAUACAAUUUUUGUUAUCAAGUAUUUGAAAAUAAAUUUCUAACCUCAUGAAAUGUCACCCCAAAUAGUUCUGCCUAUGUCUCCUGGGAAGAAGCCCCUUCACCUUUAAUGCCAUUAUUAUGUUAAUAAGAAAUCUGUAAAUUAAAAAUAUCAUCUCAUGUCCAAUCCACAGUCAAAUUCCCAAAGCCCCAGUUGUGUCUUUGGCUGGUCCUUCCUGGACACGCAGGCCCUGAGUGGCCGCAUGUGCUUCCUGUUUGUCAUUUCUCUCCUGACCAGUCCCCUCCCCUCAGGGCCAGCCUGCCCCGCACACCAGUCAGAGUCGCAAGCCCACCUCUGACCGGCUCCUUGUGCUCCCCACACUUCUGGAAGUCCCCAGUGAGUGUGGAGGCUUCAUUGCAAGAGGACCUCGGUUCUGCAGGUUGCAUCACACCGAUAGGAGAGGCACGGGUCGGCGUCAGGCUGGUGACUUGGAGCUUCCACUGCCCUGGAAGUUGGGGCCACCCUGGUGGGGAACAAGCAGCAAGUAGUUUGGAGACAGAGGGAGAGAAGGACAGCCUCGCAGCCUAG